rnacentral:rRNA from 1 species
UACGAAGGGGGCUAGCGUUGCUCGGAAUCACUGGGCGUAAAGCGCACGUAGGCGGAUUGUUAAGUCAGGGGUGAAAUCCUGGAGCUCAACUCCAGAACUGCCCUUUGAUACUGGCGAUCUCGAGUCCGGGAGAGGUGAGUGGAACUGCGAGUGUAGAGGUGAAAUUCGUAGAUAUUCGCAAGAACACCAGUGGCGAAGGCGGCUCACUGGCCCGGUACUGACGCUGAGGUGCGAAAGCAUGGGGAGCGAACAGG